AUAAUAAUAAUAAUAAUAAUAAUAAUAAUAAUAAAGGCUUUAUUUAACGAGGCUACAUAUUCGCCAAAACGAUCUUCCAUAUGUACCUCAACAUAUUUACAACAUAUUUACAUCAAAUAAUUAUACAAAAGACAAUGUAAUAUUAUAAAACAUGGUAUUAACUAGUUAUAAAUGCAAUGACAAACUAAACAUAAAUAUUAACCAUUAACAAUGAAAACUGCAGUAAACAUAAUUAUACAAACAUAAUACUAUGGUAUUGGUUUAACCAGAGUACUUCCACUUUAUGUAAGCUUUUUUGAAUUUUUCAGUACUUUCAGACUGACGUACAUAAAGUGGUAUAUUAUUCCAGAUUUUAGUUCCAGAAUAAGAAAGUGAUUUACGGUAAAACUCAAGAUUAGGUUUAGGGACAUUGCACAACUAGACUUGCUACUGAUCAUUCCUGUAAAGUUUGGAUGGAAUUGCACCAGUAGUUUAUGAGGAGUAGUCCGGACAAGUUUUGUGAUGGACAGACAGACGGACGGACGUUCUCACAGGACAGUAAUUAUGUGGCUACUCUAUUGUUCUCUCUAUUGUUCUUUUAAGCCACACAAAAGAAAAUAGCCACAUAAAAGCAUUAUGGAAUGAAUGACAUCAAAGAGAAAGAACAGUUACCUAUUGUCCCUCUAGCCACAUAAUUACUCUCCUGUGAGUGCGGAUAGACAGACAGACAGACAGACGACGGAGAAGUGAUCCCUAUAUGUCGCCACUACUCCGUAGAGGCGACACAAAAAUGGCCCUGUCCAUUUUUGGAACUAUCUUGCUCACAGUAAAUUACAGUCCAUAAUCAAAGUGAAAAUUUUAAGUUGAUCAGCAAAAGGUAUAUAAAGCCUAAUCAGAAUGGGUGUUGGUUUAACUGGCAAGUGGCUCAUAAUUAUUAUACUGGUAGAAACUACUACCUGGAGCAGAGUGAAGGCUAGAAGCAUUUUAAAAUGAUCAAUCAUAGUUGUUAUAUUGGCUGAUAGCAUUUUUAUGUAAUAGUAAAUGGUUCAAUAAUUUUUGAGAGGCAAAUAAUUAAAAGUUAUGAGCCUAAGGAGAAAGCCUGUGCAUUAUAACAACACUUGUUCAGUUUUGGCUCACAGACAAUUCCCAUAGCUGCAGUUUUCUAUAUAUAAAUUGAACAAUGCAACACAACAUUACUGGGUUAAGAUGCAUCACAUAUGUGCAUUAAGUCAUUCUUUCAUUUUAUGAUAGUUUAUAAUGUAUGUUCAGAUAUGAAUUUUUCCACUUGUUAAAAUCUAUAUCUCGUGAAAAAAUAGUUUCUGUUAACUCAGCGAAAAUCUAUUGAAAGUAAUAAACUUACAAUGUUUGUAUACAGCUGUAUAAGAACUAUAAUAUAAAAUGUCAAAGAUUUUCUUAUUUGAUUUCUAUUGUUAGGCUUAAUAAUAUUUUCUUCCUUUAAUUGAAUUACAAUGUUAUUCUCAAACAACUUGAAAUAUCUAUAAAUAUAAUGCAAGGUUUUCUCAUAAACUCACAAAAUCUCAUCCAUGAAUCUGGCAUCUCAAAUUAAAAUACUCUGUUCCCAUUUAUACUCGUAUAAUUAUAUAGCUAAAUAUGACAUUGAGCAGGAAACCAAUAACCUGCAAUAGUGUUUACAAAUAGAAAAAAAGAAAUGAUAGAGCUAUUUAAACUUUAAAACACCUUACUGCAAACCAAUGUAAAGUUGUAACUGACCUUAACAAAAUGUCCAAAAUCAAAACAAAAUGUUAUGAGCAGCAGGACUGACUGUACCAUCUGUGUCAUAAUGCUUAUAAUAUACAAUAUAUUCACAAUAUAAUAAAAAAUCAAAUUAAUAUAAAUUAUCUAAAGAAAAAAUAAAAGGCAGAAGAAUGAAAAAAAAAAC